AAAUGAGCUAAUUUUUUUUUCAUAUAGAGGGGCAUUUUUGUCAUUCAAUCAAAAGUUAGAUGGAGCCGUUAGAAAUAACUGAAAAAUUAACGGAAUUGGGAGCGCGGUGCAACACGUCAUUUUUUUUAGUGCGCGGUGUAAAAUGUCAAUUUAUUUGGGGGUAGGUUACAAAUUUUCCUUUUUUUUAAUAAUAAAUAUUUACGCAGCUGUUGAAAAUAUAAAUAUUGCAAUAUUGAUAUAUAAUAAAUUAUAAUUAACGAUGCAUCAAAUGUAAAUAUCAAUAAAUAUCAAUACAUACUAAAAUUAGUGCUUAUAUCGUGUCAUGCUCAUCAAGUUGACCAAAAUUCAAACGCUAUUAAUCUCUUGCCACUACCUCUCACAAUUAUUUUUUACUAGGUAAGAGUCAAUAAUAAUUUUAUAGAUAGUCAAUCAUAAUAUUAUAGAUAAGUUUUAAUUUAUCCUUUUUGGAUGUACGUAUUGGAAUGCGAGAAAUAACUCGAAAGACGAAACUCUAAAAAUGCGCGACUGAGAAACUGAAUAUAACGAGUGUUUAGCAUUGACAGCAAACAUGAUAGAAAAACCAUUUAAACUGAGAGUUAAAUGCUUCUCCCAAAAAAAAAAAAAAAAAAAACUGAUAGUUAAAUGUCCAAUAACAGUAGUAAAAACAAAUGUGAGCAAUAACUUUCGUACAUGUUUAUUGUUUUACAAGCGCUAGAAAGAUGGCUGGGUUAUCUCAAAGCCAAUUCCAAUGUGUAAAUUGAACAAAUCUCAGAACACAUUGUUGCUUCCUUGUCAGCUAGUGCUAGGUAACGUAAUAAUUUGUGGAACAAUAAUGCAUGCCUGCAUAUUUACAUUUGCCAACACUAGCUAGCAACUAGAGAUGACAAGUAGCAAGAAAGCAAUUGGUGACAUAUUCAUGCAUGUGUCCGUAAAUUUGUGUAGAAAUAGCCAGAGAACUUUGGUGAUUGAUCAUUUCAUGUUGGCGUCAAAGACAGAGACUGCCAACUUUAACGUGAGGCACUUAAAUAGUUUCCGAAAAGUAUAAAUUUCAUGAGGGUGGGGAUUUGAAAUUAUAUUGAAAGUCUAAAUUGAAGUCCUGUUUUCUGCACUGUGGCAACUAGGUUAAUGCGUUGCCACAACAUAGUGCCAAACUGGCAUCAUAUAUACAUUCUAAUAAAGUGGUAUUUAUUUUACCACUAGGGAUAUAUAUAAAAGAGAAAAACGAUAUUUUAUUACAAAAUUUUAGUUAAUAAAGAUAAUAAAUUAGUUAUCUUAUAUUUUUAUGACACAAAAUAUAUUGUCACAUAUAAAUCAUUGAAAGUGCGUCAUAUUAGGCUUUAACAACUAAAAUUAUUUUUCUCAUAUAAAAGAAUGUGUUUUUGUGACUAAAAUAUUUGUCUCAAAUUUAAAUUAAACACGUCAUAUAUGGUAUUAAAACGGUCAAUUUAAAUAUUUAAAAAAUAUCUUAAUAUCUCUUAUUAAAAACUCAAUGAUCUACAUAAUUAUUUUUCUAAAUUUUAGGAACAUAAAUAUCUUUUUUUUUCUCUUACCACUAUAAUUAUUUACAAUAGAGAAAUGAGACUCUAGAUUCUAAUGCUAUUCUAAUGUUUUCUCUUAAAAUAAUAAAACAAAGAGCGUUUUAACACUUUGUUAUAUGCCCUUGGUGGCUUCAAGAAUCAAGUUGAUAGAACCAUAAUGCGGGAAUGUAUAACACACGUGUCCUCCCAGUAGUCCUCAACGACAGUCAAAUGAUCAUUGUUUUUAAAGUGGGUCUAUUAUCUGCCGUCUCCAGACAACUUUAUGAAGGGGAAUGGCUCCUUCGGGCCUUUCCAUUGAAAGAUAUCAGAUCGGUUUUAAUUAAUAUUAGCUUAUAAUAAUUAGCAAGAACCGUGGAUAUGUGCUUAGGGAUGUAGGGUAGCUUAAGUUUUGAAGUUGAUACUUGCGCCUUUUUUAUUUUUUAUUUUUGGACAGAUGAUGACAUUUCCCUAUUCUCAAAAACACCUAAGUCUCUAUUUAAUAUAGCUUACUAAUAACUUUAAGUAUUUAUUUAAUUCCUUCAAU
rnacentral:lncRNA from 1 species